UUUUACUAUAAUAAUUAAUUUAACUAUAUUUAAAUAUAAUUUGUAUUAAUACAAAUAAAUUAAAUUAGGUUGGUAGUACCUGAGGCGAAAACAGUCUCACUGCUGACGUCAUCAGUGAUAAUGGAGACCUGCCACGGGCUUUUUGACUCCCGUCACUGUGACGGUACCCGCCACGUACGGGCUAGUUGACACCCGUCACUGUGACGGUACCCGUCACGGGCUUGUAGUGUCACGGGGCUAUAGUGUCACUUGUCAUCCAAGAACUCUAGGGGUGCGGAGUCUCAAGGGCCCGGAUAUCAAGGAAAACCUCCCCCCAACAUUCACCGAUGAUUUAAGAUUACUUAAAGGCAGCCACUUUUCUUGAAGGUAAAUUAAAGAAAUUAGUAGUUUAGCAAGAGGACGGGCACAGCACAGCCUCCAUAAAAUGGAAAUAAAUGAUAGAAAUUGGUACAGUAUUAUAAGGUGAUGCCUCAGCAGACAGGACAGCACUGAUCUUCUCUCAGCACCGGGUUGUCACAUGCUGGAGGUGGGCACGAGCUCACCUGACACUCCACAUUUCCUCUCUGAAAAGAUAUUUCAGAAAAAAAAUGUAGUUUAUAAUAAAAAAAAUUAUCACAAUGUAUAACUUGUUCACCACUUAUGUCACACUACAAUAACUGAUAAUUUGGUAUUUUAAAAAAUUCUAAAUUUCCUAUUUUCAUGCACUCCAAUGAAAACGGGACAAAUACAUAAUCUUAAAAGUUAGGACCUUUGCACGCCCAGUAGACCUAGGUUUAGUUGCAUCCCAUGGCAAGCAGCACUGCACUCACAGAUUUUUGGCACUGGUGAUUAUCUCUGUUAGUUAUAAAUUGUUACUAUAUUUGUUUUCCAUAUGAAUGUACUGUAUAGGUACAGGUGAUCUUCAUUUAACAUCGCCUCAAUUAAUGCUAUUGUAUUUAGUUUUUGUCGUUUACUUAAAACGGAUAAAUUAAAUUAUUUAAAUUUAAA